UGCAUGAAGCCGGAAUUGCUAGUAAUGGCAGGUCAGCAUACUGCCGUGAAUACGUUCCCGGGCCUUGUACACACCGCCCGUCACACCAUGAGAGUUGGGGAUACCCAAAGCCCGUGAGCCAACUGUAAAGAGGCAGCGGUCUAAGGUAGAAUCAAUGAUUGGGGUGAAGUCGUAACAAGGUAGC
rnacentral:rRNA from 1 species